UACGUAGGGUGCAAGCGUUGUCCGGAAUUAUUGGGCGUAAAGAGCUCGUAGGCGGUUUGUUGCGUCGCUGUGAAAUCCCGAGGCUCAACCUCGGGUCUGCAGUCGAUACGAGCAAACUAGAGUGAUGUAGGGGAGACUGGAAUUCCGUGGUGAUAGCGGUGAAAUGCGCAGAUAUCAGGAGGAACACCGAUGGCGAAGGCAGGUCUCUGGGCAUUGAACUGACGCUGGAGGAGCGGAAAGCAUGGGGAGCGAACAGGAUAGACUCCUAGUAGUCCA
rnacentral:rRNA from 1 species